AUGCUUCUCCUAAAGACUAAGCCAUGCAUGUCUUCGAAUAAGAGGAAGCAAUUCUCUCUGAAUCUGCGAACGGCUCCGCAAACCAGCUGCAAACUAGGGCAGGCACGCCUGGUCAGGGCCCUCACGGGUCCAGGCCAGGCUACAUGGAUAACCCUGGUAAUUCUGAGGCUAAUACAUGACAGUACGCGCGCUCGGUCGGCAUCAGCUUCCCUCGUGGAAGCCGCAGGCCGGGUGGACGUGUGACUUACGGCCUGGGAAUCCGUGAUAGAACG
rnacentral:rRNA from 1 species